rnacentral:ncRNA from 1 species
CAAAAGCUUGGUCCCGGCUUUACUAUCAGCUGUAAUCUAAAUUACACAUGCAAGUCUCCGCACCCCUGUGAAGAAGCCCUCAGCCCCCCAACCGGAGGCCCAGGAGCAGGUAUCAGGCCCCAAUAUGAGCCCAUGACGCCUAGCUAAGCCACUCCCCCACGGGAACUCAGCAGUGAUAAAAAUUAAGUAUUUGAGCAAACUUGACUUAGUUAAGAUAAACAGAACCGGUUAAACUCGUGCCAGCCACCGCGGUUAUACGAGGGGUUCAAGUUGAUAGUGCGCGGCGUAAAGUGUGGUCUAUUAAUCAUAUUAAUAGGAUCAAAUAAUCGCAACGCUGUGAUAUGUUUACGAAAUCAUUAAGACUCAUACGAAAGUUAUCCUAAUAUUCUUAAUCCACGAGAGCCAAGACCUAAACAGGGAUUAGAUACCCCUUUAUACUUGGCCCUAAACAAUAGCAUUCACUAACACAGAAUGCUCGCCCGGGUAUUACGAGCUCUUAUAGCCUAAAACCUAAAGGACCUGGCGGUGCUUUACAUCCAUCUAGAGGAGCCUGUCCUAGAACUGAUAUUCCCCAUUAAACCUCACCCUCCCUGGCUUAAUCCGCCUAUAUACCGCCGUCGUCAGCUAACCUUAUGAAAGAGAAUCCCAACGUUAGCUCAAGAAGCUAUUUCCUAAAGACGUCAGGUCGAGGUGUAGCGUAUGGGAAGGGAAGAGAUGGGCUACAUUUUCUAUACUAGAAAACACGAAUGAUUAUCUGAAAAAGAUUCUUAAUACUGAAGGUGGAUUUAGUAGUAGGAGGGAAUAAGAGAGUCCCCCUGAAUUAGGCCCUAAAGCGCGUACAUACCGCCCGUCACCCUCCCCCUUCCCAAAAAACCAUAAGGUUAGGGUACCCGGAGAGGAAAGUCGUAACAUGGUAAGUGUACCGGAAGGUGCACUUGAGUAU